rnacentral:lncRNA from 1 species
GGAGGCUGGCGGAGCUCGGCUCCCGACGCGCAGCGCAGCAGCAGCUUGGGGCCGCCGAAGCAGUAGCACUGGAAGGGGCAGGGUGCCGCGGGCUGGCUCAGCGCCGCCGCCACGAGCAGCAGCCCCUGGAGCCCCGGCUGUCCCGCGCGCGGGGCCAUCGCGGCCGCCCCCGCAUCCAGCGCCCGGGCCGCCGCGCUCACCAAACUGGGAAGCUCUAAACCUGAUUUAAAGAGACAGGCUCCUGAGAAGGGAGGAUUCCUGGCCUUAGCAUGAAUUAUUCAGGCUGGAGAGGCUGACACUUGAUCCGCAGGCCAUUCGGGUAUCAGCAGAGCUGGUUGGAAUAGAGGCUCCCCACCUCCUCCCAAGAAUCAGUCUCUUUCUCCUGAAUUGGGUGCUUCCCGUCUAAAUUCUCCUGGAACCAAUUUCUCUCUGUCCAAGUUCCCCAAGGAAUCAAGUCUGCGAGCCAUUGGGGCUGAGGGAUCUCUGUUCUUUGGAGGAACAGCGCUCUCCAUCUUAGAUUUGCCAGUGUUCAGUAUGCAUUAAGUGUUCAAUAAAUGUGUGUCCACUUGAGUCUGAGGCUGUGUGUUUAUUCUCUGAUGCAUCUGGUGGAAGUCUCUUUUCUUGGACUGUUUGCCCCAGCUGGGGUGCUCUCCUCUUGAUUCUGUUUCUCCAGUCCAGUCAGCUGUCCCUCAGGACUUGUGAGUUUUGCCCCCUUCAGGGAGCCCUCAUGGCUUCCCUCUCCAUCCUUUGAACUUCACUGAUCAAUUAGAGGGCUAAGACUCCCCUGAUCUUCUUGACUGUCAGCAGCUAGGGCUCAGGUCUGGUCUAAUUUCUUAGGGAUCAGUACAGAGAAGGCACCAGGGAAUAUUUGCUGACUGAAAUAAUGAUUUAAAAAUCUGUGACUCGAGCCUCUCAUCCCUAUGAGGCAAGCUCGGUGAGGACCCCUCAUCUACACUUCAUACCAGGAGAUAGCUGCUCAGAAAUGUUAAGUGCUUUCCCCAAGGUUGCACACCUGACUGGGACCUGAGCCAGAUAGAAGCUCGGGUUUCUUGCCCAUCUCCUUUGCCGCAGCCCCCCCUCAUCCUAGGAUCCCUCUCUCCUGGGAGUGUGGCUGGGUCAGAUCCCAGGGGAGCCUGUGGGCAAAGAGCUCACGCCCUCAGGGUUUCCUUAGGACUCGGAAGAAGCGAGGCACCCCUCGCCACCCAAGCAGAGUGAUCAUCUGCCCUUUGCCCAGAUGAGUACCCCUCAUGUCAGCCACACUGGAUCUUCACGCUUGCUUGAAUUUAUUACUCCACUAGGUCCCAGAGCCCUUCUCUUAGUAUUCCAAGGUGUUGUCUCUACCUGAGCCUCUAGUGCCUUCGCUGGGCCUUUUCUGCUGGCACAGACCCUGCUGUUGAUCAGCUCCACUAAGCCUUGGUAGGGAGCACAGAGUGUGAUGACGUCCCUGAGAUCACCCAGCAGGUAGCCCCUUCUCCAGCUCUGUUUUGUCAUCAGAGGUGUGUCAAUAUUAUUAAAGUCCUUGGACACACCUCAGUUUCCCUGUCUGCAAAAAAGUGUGUGUGGAUGGGAUGGUCCUGGGGGGCCUAGUAGUCUUGUGCCCCUUGGCAUUUUAGGGAUGGGGGUCAGGGAGGGGAAGGUCAUACUGGGAUUUGCCCAAGUUGGUGCCCCCACCUUCUCAAUAUAUGACCUUGAACUUGGUACCACCCCAAUUAAGGCCUUGGUUGCCCGACUAGAAAGUGGUAGGGGUGGCUGGGUGUGGUGCCUCAUGCCUGUAAUCCCAGAACUUUGGGAGGCCGAGGUGGGCAGAUCACAAGGUCAGGAGAUUGAGGCCAUCCUGGCGAACAUGGUGAAACCCCGUCUCUACUAAAAAUACAAAAAAGAAUUAGCCGGGCGUGGUGGUGGGCACCUGUAGUCCCAGCUACUCAGGGGGGCUGAGGAAGAAAGUGGUAGGGGUGGUCUGGGGUCCUUCUGGAGCGGAUGCUGUAGCAUCCUGAGAUCCAGGCUCCCUUUGUCCUCUGUCCCAGCAGCCCUCCUGCUGCCUUCCCAUCCCUCUGUUCCCCCCUCCUCCAAGGCAAAUGGAGGAGCAGCAGGCGGCCUGACGUGAUGAACUCAGCCACGAGGUAGUGGGGGAGGCCCCAGCUUCUCUCCUCUUGCUUGGCUUCCUUGCCAGCAGGGACGGGAGACUUCACUGUGGGCCUUGCCAUUCCCAUUUCUCACUCCCCCUCCCCUCCCCCACUGCUGUGAGACACAGGAAAAUCCAUAGGCCCAAGAUUCAUUUUCUCCGUUGAGUCAGCAGAGGCCAGCGCUGCUUCUGAGGGGCAGGCAACUGGCUUUUAAAUAACUCUCUGAUAUUUAAUACCCUCCUCCUCCGCUCUGUGGCCUGGGCCUCUGGGGAAAGGCUAGAAUAAAUGAGCUGGAUGCGUCCUCCGAAAGUCCUAAAUGUUCUUACCCCCACCUCAGUCUUCCCCCCAACCCCCAACUCUCAGACCAUUGGAAAAGAUGACUCCUUACUACAUCUGUACCUUGCUUUACAGUUUCUAAGUGGUGGCAGGCUGGGUUUGUUGUCCCAGUUUAGAAUGGGAAAUGGACAUUUAGAAAAGGAGAGAGAUCCCACUUGACUUUUGGUCUUUGUCUGCUGUUGGCUGGCUGUGUGGCUGUGGGCAGGUGGGUCCCUGUCCCUCCCUGGGCUUCUGUUUCCUCAUCUGUGCUGCAAGGUGGUUCGGCCAGUGGGUUGUUGUUGGUCCCCCUUGGCUGUGUAAUGUUAUGAUUUGCUGUGCUGGCCUAGGUCUCCUUCCCUAAUGAAGCCUCUGUUUCUCCACUCCUCUUCAAGGAAAGGCUAAAGGGCAGAGCCGACUGAGGCUAAAGGCCAGCUAAGGUCUGACCCCUAGGAUUCCACUCUGUUGAGUCAGGGACAGGAGUGGGUAGGGGAGAGGGGAAAGGGAAAGGAGCAGAGUUGGGUGCCUUCCCUUCCCUUCCCUUGUCUUCCCUUCCCUCCCCUCCACUCCCCUCCCCUUUCAUUAUUUCUUGCUUUUGCCAGUAGAGGUUGGGACAGACCAAGGGCAAUAACCUGUCUUGGUUCUCUUAAAACCCAAGGUCUCUACCACUGUGGAUGCAGUUUAAUGAGGUGGGAGCAAAACCCUCUUCCUCAGCUGUGCCCAGGCCCAGGAUCCUGAUCAUGGAAGUUAGUGGGCCCAGUUCUCCUGGUUUUGCCACUGUUCUGCAUUAUUCAGAAGACAGGGAUUGAUAUCUCUGUUGGCUAUAUGAGAACACUGGGAGGUUAAGAGCUGUGCUUGGGGUCAUCCCAGAUUAAUGAUGGAACAGGGCCUAUAAUCUAGGUUUUCUGAUUCCCAACUCCGUGUUCAUGCCACUUCCCUGAUUCAGGCAGGAAGUUGGGGCCUGAGGGGUGAGCAUGGGAGAGGCAGCUGGUUCUGUAGGGGUGACCUUUGUUUGCCCAACUUCUUUAGCCUCCUCUUGGGUCCUCAUGCUCUUCUUCAAUGUACUGAGCCUUCUGCUUCUAGAAUCACAGAAUCUUGGAAUCAAAACAUUGACUGCUAAGAACCACAGACUCAGAGAGCCAUAGAACUGUGGUCUCUGAAUUAGAACAAAGACUUAUGGUAUUGGUAGUAUGGUGGUGGUGAAUGAGACACUUAGAGCUUGUGGUAGGUUGUUAAUAUUGAUGGUCCCAAAUGAAUUCUGCGUAUCUGAGUCCAUACUUUUAUGUUGUCCCACCCCAUACUGACUUUGGGUUGGCCGUGUGACUUCCUCUGGUUAAUGAGACGUCAGCAAAUGUGAUGCAAGGAGAGUCUUAAAAAGUGCUUGUGCAUUGGGAUUCACCUCUUCUUGCUCCCCUGAAACUGCCAUGUGUAGGAACACAAGCAUGCCUUUUAGAGGAAGAGACCAGAAGUAAACCAUCCCAGCUGGAGAUGAACCAGCUCCCUGAUGGUCUUCCGCCUGCCUCCAGCCACCUGAGUGACCCCAGAUAAGACCAACAGAACUACUCAGCUGACCCGAGCCCAAAUUUCUGACUCACAGAAUUGUGAACAAAUAAAAUGGUGGUUGUUUUAAGUCACUAAGUUUUGGGGUGGUUUGUUACACAGCAGUAGAUAACGGAUGCAGAACCUCAUCAUUGUAGAAUCUUGGUCAUAGAUCCAAUAUGCCCUGACAGUCACAGCAUCGUGGAACCCCAGGACCAGAAACUGGAACCACUGAUGUAGAAUCCAAGAAACAGAAGAGUCCUGAAAACGCCUUAACUCCCACCCAAUGGUACCCUCUCCUUUCACUGUCAGACCAGGUGACCACUCAUCUUUCAACGUUGAGCCCUCUCCCCACCCACAGGUGUCUCUUAUUCUUUAGCGUUG